CAGCGGAGCAAAGGCUGUGGCUGAGGAAUUCCCUCUGCAAGUCACUCGCUGGAAACUUUUGGCUUUUUCUAUCACAGUAAUGAGGAAAAAAUAAGGAUUUCUCCAGUUCCCGGCCCAGAUCCAUCCAUCUCAGUUGCAUGCUCCAGCCUUAACCCGCCGGGAAAGCUGCUACGGAAAGUUUAUUUGCUAGGACGUAAGAUCGGUCUGCAAGAAGCUUUAAGAAAAGAAGCCUGUCCGACUGGUCGCUUGAGGCCCGAGAGUAUUAAAGCAGUCUAUAGUCAAAUGUCUGCAUGCCACCUAGUGGGCUUUUUACAACAUUAAUAAUCCUAAUGCUUUUUCCGCAAAAGACCAAACUUGGGUUUUCCUUUCAUAAGUUUGUAAAACAAAUACAAAUUUUACAUGAGCAGAAA